rnacentral:lncRNA from 1 species
GGUUACUCCAGUGUGAAGCGGCUUCCAGGCAUCCAUUUCCUUAAGACUACACAAAGAAUCCAUUACUGGAAAACAUCCAAAUCUGCCAGAUAAUUGCCUCGAUCCAUGUUCUCUUCACCUUGGAGGCAAACGUGGGACAAUAUUUUUAAUCCCAGUGCAUCUGCCUGUUCCUAGGCUAGCAUCUGGUUACAGCUGCUUUUUUUUUUUUCAUCUGGAGGGACCUCUUUGGUGCAAACCGAGCCGAACCUGCAGUAUGGCUGCCAUGGCAAGCAAGCUCCGGGCUAGGGACUUCUUUGGUGCAAACUGAGCGGAUCCUGCAGUAUGGCUGCCAUGGCAAGCAAGCUCCGGGCUAGGGUGAACAGAGUGAGAAAGGCUUCCACUAUGAUCUCUGGUUGUGUCUACAUCUUAGAGUUCCAGGAACUCUGAAGAACCAUCUUGCCUUGUUGUGACAAAGUUCAACAGUCAAUUUCCUGUGGGUCCUGCAUGUCCAGUUUAUACAACAUACUGUCAAGCAGUCCAGGCAAGAGCAGCUUGCCACAAUGAAAACAAACUUCUAUGGAGUUUCUUUGAUGCCCAUCAUCCUUUAUGAAGUAAAUUGCUAUUGCCAGGAACAAAUGUGUCUCAUUGUCAUGAAAAGCCCUAAAUUAACAAAACAUUUUAAAUGCCAUAUUCUGUAGGUCUUUGAAAGGUUUGAAGACCAUCUAUCUAAAAUACAUCAAUUUAACCUAGAAAACAUACCUAACAUAUCUACAAAAAUAGUUAUAAAUGACUAGCUACUAAACUAUGC